AACGCGAAGAACCUUACGAAGGCUUGACAUGCAUGGUGAUCCGCGAGAGGUGGCGGGUCCGGCAGGGAUGCUGCAGGGGUGGUGCAAGGUUGUCGUCAGCGCGUGGCGUGAUAUGUUGGGUUAAGUCGCGCAGCGAGCGCGGCCCUCGUCCUAUGUUGCCAGCGGGGCGUGCCGGGGACUCAAUAGGAGACUGCCGGGGUCGACUCGGAGGAAGGUGGGGAUGACGUCAAAUCGUCAUGCCCCUUAUGUCUUGGGCUUCACGCAUGCUACAAUGGCCAGCUACGAAAGGGCUGCUAGACCGUGAGGUGGAGCGAAUCCCACAAAGCUGGUCUCAGAUUCGGAUCAGGGUCUGCAACUCGACGCCGUGAAGUCGGAGUCACUAGUAAUCGCAGAUCAGCAACGAUGCGGUGAAUACGCUCUCGGGUCUUGUACACACCG
rnacentral:rRNA from 1 species